GACGAACGCUGGCGGCGUGCUUAACACAUGCAAGUCGAACGGAAAGGCCCUGCUUUUGUGGGGUGCUCGAGUGGCGAACGGGUGAGUAACACGUGAGUAACCUGCCCUUGACUUUGGGAUAACUUCAGGAAACUGGGGCUAAUACCGGAUAGGAGCUCCUGCUGCAUGGUGGGGGUUGGAAAGUUUCGGCGGUUGGGGAUGGACUCGCGGCUUAUCAGCUUGUUGGUGGGGUAGUGGCUUACCAAGGCUUUGACGGGUAGCCGGCCUGAGAGGGUGACCGGCCACAUUGGGACUGAGAUACGGCCCAGACUCCUACGGGAGGCAGCAGUGGGGAAUAUUGCACAAUGGGCGGAAGCCUGAUGCAGCAACGCCGCGUGCGGGAUGACGGCCUUCGGGUUGUAAACCGCUUUCGCCUGUGACGAAGCGUGAGUGACGGUAAUGGGUAAAGAAGCACCGGCUAACUACGUGCCAGCAGCCGCGGUGAUACGUAGGGUGCGAGCGUUGUCCGGAUUUAUUGGGCGUAAAGGGCUCGUAGGUGGUUGAUCGCGUCGGAAGUGUAAUCUUGGGGCUUAACCCUGAGCGUGCUUUCGAUACGGGUUGACUUGAGGAAGGUAGGGGAGAAUGGAAUUCCUGGUGGAGCGGUGGAAUGCGCAGAUAUCAGGAGGAACACCAGUGGCGAAGGCGGUUCUCUGGGCCUUUCCUGACGCUGAGGAGCGAAAGCGUGGGGAGCGAACAGGCUUAGAUACCCUGGUAGUCCACGCUGUAAACGGUGGGUACUAGGUGUGGGGUCCAUUCCACGGGUUCCGUGCCGUAGCUAACGCUUUAAGUACCCCGCCUGGGGAGUACGGCCGCAAGGCUAAAACUCAAAGGAAUUGACGGGGCCCCGCACAAGCGGCGGAGCAUGCGGAUUAAUUCGAUGCAACGCGUAGAACCUUACCUGGGUUUGACAUGGAUCGGGAGUGCUCAGAGAUGGGUGUGCCUCUUUUGGGGUCGGUUCACAGGUGGUGCAUGGCUGUCGUCAGCUCGUGUCGUGAGAUGUUGGGUUAAGUCCCGCAACGAGCGCAACCCUUGUUCACUGUUGCCAGCACGUUAUGGUGGGGACUCAGUGGAGACCGCCGGGGUCAACUCGGAGGAAGGUGGGGAUGACGUCAAGUCAUCAUGCCCCUUAUGUCCAGGGCUUCACGCAUGCUACAAUGGCUGGUACAGAGAGUGGCGAGCCUGUGAGGGUGAGCGAAUCUCGGAAAGCCGGUCUCAGUUCGGAUUGGGGUCUGCAACUCGACCUCAUGAAGUGGGAGUCGCUAGUAAUCGCAGAUCAGCAACGAUGCGGUGAAUACGUUCCCGGG
rnacentral:rRNA from 1 species